rnacentral:rRNA from 1 species
GAUGAACGCUGGCGGCGCGCCUAACACAUGCAAGCCGAACGGUUAAAGCACCUUUUAGGUGUGUAUAAAGUGGCGAACGGCUGAGUAACACGUGGGCAACCUGCCCUCCUCUUGGGGAUAGCCUCGGGAAACCGAGGAUAAUACCCGAUACUUCAAUGUGGCCGCAUGACGACAUUGAGAAAGCUUUUGCGGAGAAGGAUGGGCCCGCGGCCUGUUAGCUUGUUGGUGGGGUAGAGGCCUACCAAGGCAAUGAUGGGUAGCUGGGUUGAGAGACCGACCAGCCAGAUUGGGACUGAGACACGGCCCAGACUCCUACGGGAGGCAGCAGUGGGGAAUCUUGCACAAUGGGCGAAAGCCUGAUGCAGCGACGCCGCGUGCGGGACGAAGGCCUUCGGGUUGUAAACCGCUUUCAGCAGGGACGAGGCGAUAAGUGACGGUACCUGCAGAAGAAGCCCCGGCUAACUACGUG